GUGCCAGCAGCCGCGGUAAUACGAAAGGUGCAAGCGUUACUCGGAAUCACUGGGCGUAAAGCGCACGUAGGCGGACUCGUAGGUCAAUUGUGAAAUACCUGGGCUCAACCCGGGAACUGCAGUUGAAACCGCUUGUCUUGAAUACCUGAGAGGGUGGGGGAAUACCUGGUGGAGAAGUGAAAUUCGUAGAGAUCAGGUGGAACACCGGAGGCGAAGGCGCCUGCCUGGCAGUGUAUUGACGCUGAGGUGCGAAAGUGCGGGGAGCAAACAGGAUUAGAUACCCUGGUAGUCC
rnacentral:rRNA from 1 species